GAGAGGAAUUACGGUAGAAGGAAGGACGCUCUGCUUUCCCCUCUGCUUGCCUGGAGGGGAGGGGUUUUCUCUGCUCUUUGUUCCGUUUGAGCAAACACAGUAACGAAACAGAAGAGGGUGGGCAGUAAGACCCUGAGGCAGAAUGCAGGAAAGCAACAGCUUUCUCUCUCGGGAGGCUCGAACGCACGUGUGGCUGCCUGCAAUCAGUUUACCACACCGAGAAUGAAGAUAAACUGGUAAAAUAAGGGGGCUGGGUUAAAGCUAAAGGGAAAACCUCAAAGAUCCCUCAAGAACAAGGCAGGGGUUCAGGGCUCCCAAAGCCGAGCUGCAGCCUUAGAAGGGGAAAAUGGGGCUUUUGGAGGUGGUUUUUACUGCCCCGCUGCUUCCAAUUUUUUAAAAGGCAAAUUGCAG